CUUUGGGAUAACCCUCGGAAACGGGGGCUAAUACCGGAUAUGACCUCCUGUCGCAUGGUGGGGGGUGGAAAGUUUUUUCGGCUUGGGAUGGGCUCGCGGCCUAUCAGCUUGUUGGUGGGGUGAUGGCCUACCAAGGCGACGACGGGUAGCCGGCCUGAGAGGGCGACCGGCCACACCGGGACUGAGACACGGCCCAGACUCCUACGGGAGGCAGCAGUGGGGAAUAUUGCACAAUGGGCGGAAGCCUGAUGCAGCGACGCCGCGUGAGGGAUGACGGCCUUCGGGUCGUAAACCUCUUUCAGCAGGGACGAAGCGUAAGUGACGGUACCUGCGGAAGAAGCGCCGGCCAACUACGUGCCAGCAGCCGCGGUAAGACGUAGGGCGCGAGCGUUGUCCGGAUUUAUUGGGCGUAAAGAGCUCGUAGGCGGCUUGUCGCGUCGACUGUGAAAACCCGCGGCUCAACUGUGGGCUUGCAGUCGAUACGGGCAGGCUAGAGUUCGGUAGGGGGGACUGGAAUUCCUGGUGUAGCGGUGGAAUGCGCAGAUAUCAGGAGGAACACCGGUGGCGAAGGCGGGUCUCUGGGCCGAUACUGACGCUGAGGAGCGAAAGCGUGGGGAGCGAACAGGAUUAGAUACCCUGGUAGUCCACGCUGUAAACGUUGGGCGC
rnacentral:rRNA from 1 species